rnacentral:tRNA from 1 species
AAAAAAUUAGUUAAAUCACAUAACAUUAGUAUGUCAAACUAAAAUUAUUGGCCUCUCAAUAUUUUUUA